CACGUAGGGUGCGAGCGUUGUCCGGAAUUAUUGGGCGUAAAGAGCUCGUGGGCGGUGUGUCGCGUCGGCCGUGAAAACCUGCAGCUUAACUGUGGGCUUGCGGUCGAUACGGGCAUCACUGGAGUUCGGCAGGGGAGACUGGAAUUCCUGGUGUAGCGGUGAAAUGCGCAGAUAUCAGGAGGAACACCGGUGGCGAAGGCGGCGACCUGGGUAGAUACUGACGCUGAGGCGCGAAAGCGUGGGGAGCGAACAGG
rnacentral:rRNA from 1 species